rfam:Paludibacter sp. 47-17 scnpilot_p_inoc_scaffold_29, whole genome shotgun sequence.
UUGUGCCGGGUAAGUCCUGUACGACCAGCUCCCGAUGAACUCCCCCAGGGCCUGACCGCAGCAAGGGUAAUUGGUUGUAGCGGUGCGAUGCAGGGGGCUUACCCACCU